UAAUGACAAUAUAUUCUUGAUUUUUAUUUCUCUUUAAACAAUGCAGUGAUUUUUUUUUUCUUUCAGUGAAUAAGACAAAGCCAAGAAGAAAUUCUGAGUGUUGUGGAAAAGUUUUUGCUGUAAAUCCAUAUUGCUUGAAAGAUGGUCUGGAACCUCACAGGUAGCUGGAAAUGGAAAGUCAAGAGAUUGCAGCUUCGGCAGCCAUUGAAGGACCAGUGUGGUGGGGAGCCCAGACGACAGGUCAGCUGAGAAUAGCUUGUUGAGAUGACAAGGCAGGAAAUUGUUCCCCGGUUUCAAAGAUGAAGAAAUCAAGGCCCUGUGAGAAGGAAGCGGCUCUCCCACAGCUAAUCACCAUUGAUGAUGUGACACAAGCUUCAGUCAGAAAUGCUGCUGGAAGAGUCUACGCAGUUGCAAUUGGAUGAAGGCUCAAAACAGACUUCUUAUUUCACGUUUUCUCCGCAGCACCGCUCAGUGUGGCCACUCGGACAUUUGUCACAGUGUUUUUGUAUCCCCUGAAAUGUGAGUAAAGAUAUAGACGCACUUUCAUUUCUAUUCUUCUGAAAGAAAACUUUGAACUCAAGCAACUCUUCCUUAUUCUUAUGUAAUAGGGAGGCCAUUGAUGGUGGUGGCCACCUCAACAUUUUGACCUCAGUGACUUCCAGAAGUAAUCAGUUUCCAGUUUCUGUUGACUAUGAGAGGAAUAUCUAGGGCUUUGAGCUGUUGUGAGUUUUGUGUCUGUUUUUAACCACAUGCAAUUGUCAAGGGUCUCAUGUUUUCUUUUCUUUUUUUAUUUCCCUCAGCUUGGAUGUUUCAUCCCAAUCUGUAAGGAAAAUUUGAUUUUAGGGGAAUUUGCUGUAAUUACAUAACUUGCCUUCUGAGAGCACAUUUCAAAGCUUAGAUUUGACAAAUAAGAGGUCUGUCUCUAGUUCUCUAGUUUAAUGUGAUAUCAGGAAAUGACUUCAUAUCCCUGGACCUUAGUUUUGCCAUCUGUAAAACUGGGAUACCAGGCCUGAUCUUAUCUACCUACCAGGGAUAUUCUGAGACCAUAGGAGAUGACAGCAGUGGAAGGGAUUUGGAAUCUGUGAUGAAUAUUCCAGAAGCCAGGAUCAUGAUAACAAGUGUCUUCUUCUCAUCACAGACCCAUUAGGUUUGUCAACAUUGAACACAGCAGUCUCAACUCUCAUCAGGUGUUCAGUAAAUGUCUUCUAGAAUGCAGCCAUGAUUUCAUGGUGUACAUCUUUGAAUGGUCAUCAUGCUGCUUUUAGGACAGGCACAUAGAGA